rnacentral:sRNA from 1 species
GAUACCAGUCGAACAGGAUCUAGCGUGC